UCGAACGAGAUCUUCGGAUCUAGUGGCAGACGGGUGAGUAACGCGUGGGAACCUGCCCAGUAGUAGAGAAUAACUUGGGGAAACUUAAGCUAAUACUUUAUACGUCCUUCGGGAGAAAGCUUUAUGCGCUAUUGGAUGGGCCCGCGUUAGAUUAGUUUGUUGGUGAGGUAACGGCUCACCAAGGCGACGAUCUAUAGCUGGUCUGAGAGGAUGAUCAGCCACACUGGGACUGAGACACGGCCCAGACUCCUACGGGAGGCAGCAGUGGGGAAUAUUGGACAAUGGGGGCAACCCUGAUCCAGCGAUGCCGCGUGAGUGAUGAAGGCCCUAGGGUUGUAAAACUCUUUCGUCAGGGAAGAUAAUGACGGUACCUGAAGAAGAAGA
rnacentral:rRNA from 1 species